UUGGCUUUCUCUUUGUAAAAUUAUUUAGAGACAAUUGUGUGAGGGAGAAUUUACGCAACCUUGCAGAUGUCCAGAAAAUCAUGGCGCAGAAAGAUGUAAAUACAAAUAUGAUUGCAGUGGAAAUCUUGUUCACCUGGCGACAUCUUCAUAUUCAUUUUUUCGAGAGUUUUCAAAUGGAAAUACAAUUGAACUAUAUUGCGACAUGGAAACAGAAGGCGGCGGUUGGAUAGUCUUUCAAAAACGCAUGGACGGAAGUG